rnacentral:rRNA from 1 species
AACGAACGCUGGCGGCAUGCCUAACACAUGCAAGUCGAACGAGACCUUCGGGUCUAGUGGCGCAUGGGUGCGUAACGCGUGGGAACCUGCCCUUAGGUUCGGAAUAACUCCCCGAAAGGGGUGCUAAUACCGGAUAAUGUCUUCGGACCAAAGAUUUAUCGCCUUUGGAUGGGCCCGCGUUGGAUUAGCUAGUUGGUAGGGUAAAAGCCUACCAAGGCGACGAUCCAUAGCUGGUCUGAGAGGAUGAUCAGCCACACUGGGACUGAGACACGGCCCAGACUCCUACGGGAGGCAGCAGUGGGGAAUAUUGGACAAUGGGCGAAAGCCUGAUCCAGCAAUGCCGCGUGAGUGAUGAAGGCCUUAGGGUUGUAAAGCUCUUUUAACCGGGAUGAUAAUGACAGUACCGGGAGAAUAAGCUCCGGCUAACUCCGUG